rnacentral:rRNA from 1 species
AGGACGAACGCUGGCGGCGUGCUUAACACAUGCAAGUCGAGCGGAAAGGCCCUUCGGGGUACUCGAGCGGCGAACGGGUGAGUAACACGUGAGCAACCUGCCCUUAGCUUCGGGAUAGCUCCGGGAAACCGGAAUUAAUACCGAAUAUGACUUUGGCUGACAUCAGCAGAAGUGGAAAGUUUUUCGGCUAGGGAUGGACUCGCGGCCUAUCAGCUAGUUGGUGAGGUAACGGCCCACCAAGGCGACGACGGGUAGCCGGCCUGAGAGGGCGACCGGCCACACUGGGACUGAGACACGGCCCAGACUCCUACGGGAGGCAGCAGUGGGGAAUAUUGCGCAAUGGGCGAAAGCCUGACGCAGCGACGCCGCGUGGGGAUGAAUGCCUUCGGUUGUAAACCCCUUUCAGCAGGGACGAAGCGAAAGUGACGGUACCUGCAGAAGAAGCGCCGGCUAACUACGUGCCAGCAGCCGC